rfam:Triticum urartu cultivar G1812 contig346286, whole genome shotgun sequence.
AAUGUACUCCCUCCGUCCCAAUAUUCUUGUCGUAGAUUUGCCUAGAUACGGAUGUACCUAAUACUAAAACGUGAUUUGAUACAUCCGUAUUUAGACAAAUUUAGGACAAGAAUUUUGGGGCGGAGGGAGUAUUUA